AACGAACGCUGGCGGCAUGCCUAACACAUGCAAGUCGAACGAAGCCUUCGGGCUUAGUGGCGCACGGGUGCGUAACGCGUGGGAAUCCGCCCUUGGGUUCGGAAUAACAGUUAGAAAUGACUGCUAAUACCGGAUGAUGUCUUCGGACCAAAGAUUUAUCGCCCAAGUAUGAGCCCGCGUCGGAUUAGCUAGUUGGUGAGGUAAAGGCUCACCAAGGCGACGAUCCGUAGCUGGUCUGAGAGGAUGAUCAGCCACACUGGGACUGAGACACGGCCCAGACUCCUACAGGAGGCAGCAGUGGGGAAUAUUGGACAAUGGGCGAAAGCCUGAUCCAGCAAUGCCGCGUGAGUGAUGAAGGCCUUAGGGUUGUAAAGCUCUUUUACCCGGGAUGAUAAUGACAGUACCGGGAGAAUAAGCCCCGGCUAACUCCGUGCCAGCCGCCGCAGUAAGAC
rnacentral:rRNA from 1 species